rnacentral:rRNA from 1 species
GAUGAACGCUGGCGGCGUGCCUAAUACAUGCAAGUCGAGCGAACAGAUAAGGAGCUUGCUCCUUUGACGUUAGCGGCGGACGGGUGAGUAACACGUGGGUAACCUACCUAUAAGACUGGGAUAACUUCGGGAAACCGGAGCUAAUACCGGAUAACAUUUGGAACCGCAUGGUUCUAAAGUGAAAGAUGGUUUUGCUAUCACUUAUAGAUGGACCCGCGCCGUAUUAGCUAGUUGGUAAGGUAACGGCUUACCAAGGCGACGAUACGUAGCCGACCUGAGAGGGUGAUCGGCCACACUGGAACUGAGAAACGGUCCAGACUCCUACGGGAGGCAGCAGUAGGGAAUCUUCCGCAAUGGGCGAAAGCCUGACGGAGCAACGCCGCGUGAGUGAUGAAGGGUUUCGGCUCGUAAAACUCUGUUAUUAGGGAAGAACAAAUGUGUAAGUAACUGUGCACGUCUUGACGGUACCUAAUCAGAAAGCCACGGCUAACUACGUGCCAGCAGCCGCGGUAA